GCGGGGAGGGGAGGAGAUAGAGGCGCAACAGGUUGUCCUGGAAGUGAGGGAAGAAGUGGCCAGGAGUUGCCCACCCCUGCUUGCGCUACUCUCUGGGCUGCUAUUAAUAGAUCUGGUACUCCUGCAGAGGAGCCGGAACACACUGCUGUGCUGGGUUCACUUCAUCUGCCGGCGACCGAGGGUUACCCAUUUUAGCCACCCCCACCCCUCCGCCCUAGUCAAUGAAAUCCCGCGCAGGGCAUGGCCAUUUCCCAAGGAAACUUGCAAACCCAGGGGAAAGUUAGACGCAAUGCUUUUUGAGUUUGAAGCGAAACCCAGAGCGUUUGAGAAGAAAUUCUGGGGCAUAUUUGCAAAAGGACAGCUGGAAUUAAAAGCCAUAGCUAGAGCAGGUUGCACUCCAGCCCAGCCCCCUUCGGCGCGCCCAGACGCUGCCUUCUCCUCGUGAAUUACAAUGGGCACAGUCCUCCGAUUGAAUCUAUCAACUCUGUCUUCUCCAGGACAGCUCUUCAGGUUUUCCAGGUCAGCAAGCACAUUCUCAUCGUGUGACCGUAUCUCCAGACUAAACAUUGCUGCUUCGUUCAACUGUUCCUUGGGGCAUGUUUCCCAGACCCUCAUAAUUUUGUUUGCUCUGCUUU
rnacentral:lncRNA from 10 species